UACGUAGGGUGCGAGCGUUAAUCGGAAUUACUGGGCGUAAAGCGUGCGCAGGCGGUUAUGUAAGACAGAUGUGAAAUCCCCGGGCUCAACCUGGGACCUGCAUUUGUGACUGCAUAGCUAGAGUACGGUAGAGGGGGAUGGAAUUCCGCGUGUAGCAGUGAAAUGCGUAGAUAUGCGGAGGAACACCGAUGGCGAAGGCAGCCCCCUGGGUCGAUACUGACGCUCAUGCACGAAAGCGUGGGGAGCAAACAGG
rnacentral:rRNA from 1 species